rnacentral:rRNA from 1 species
GACCUCGGAUCAGGUAGGAGUACCCGCUGAACUUAA